CGUAGGGUGCGAGCGUUAAUCGGAAUUAUUGGGCGUAAAGCGUGCGCAGGCGGUUUUAUAAGACAGAUGUGAAAUCCCCGAGCUUAACCUGGGAACUGCGUUUGUGACUGUAAGACUGGAGUGUGGCAGAGGGGGGUGGAAUUCCACGUGUAGCAGUGAAAUGCGCAGAUAUGUGGAGGAACAUCGAUGGCGAAGGCAGCCCCCUGGGUUAACACUGACGCUCAUGCACGAAAGCGUGGGGAGCAAACAGGAUUAGAUACCCUGGUAGUCCACGCCCUAAACGAUGCGAACUAGGUGUUGGGGAAGGAGACUUCCUUAGUACCGCAGCUAACGCGUGAAGUUCGCCGCCUGGGGAGUACGGUCGCAAGAUUA
rnacentral:rRNA from 1 species